GGUCAGUGAUGUGAUGUAAAAGGUCUGACAUCCAGGUCUCCUCCCAGUCUGCUCGGCCCUCCCAGCAGCCCCUCUUAAUUAUUUCCCAGCAUGCUUUAGUCGUGCAUCGCUGGUUCGAGGUGGCGGCUGAUACUUUGGACGUUUUUGCUGAAUAAGAGUCUAUUAGAGAACCGAUUGUGAACUCAACAGCGGCGUCCAACAGAACGACGACACGAAGGAGGGCCAGACGGGAGGAGGACGUUAAACUGGUGCAUGAUCUCAAGUUUUCAAGCUGAGACC
ensembl:scaRNA small Cajal body-specific RNA 6